AUUAUAAUAUAUCUUUUAAAUCACUAUCUAUAAAAAUAAUAUAAAAUUUACUCAUAAAUAGUAUUAAAAUAAAAGUACUGAAAAGGAAAUAAAAAUAAUUUACAGUAGUGAAACUCACGUACCUUGUGCAUUAUGGUUUUACAAGCUAAUAAUUAACAAUAAACUCCCGAAUUCUAUGCGAGCUGUCCAAGUAUAGUUAAGAACUCACCACUAAUUAUAGCAUCAACUUUGGAAAAUACUUUGACAGGGGCUACAUACCAAUCGCGCUAGAAUAUUGCUGGUUUUCAAUAAAAUCUAAGAAUAGAGCAUGUAAUCAUACUACAAUGUAAAACUACAGAGGAUAAGCCCUGUAAUCAAAGCUAACUUCUAAAUAAAAUUUAAAUAGGCUUAAAAUCAGCCAAUAAAAAUACGUUACUGUAUUACGCACAAAAUUAAUCUAAGGCUAUGCAACAAAAAAUUGAAAUAUACGAAUAACUUUAAAUCUUAAAAUAAUCUGUAAAAAUAAGUAUUAGAAAAUAAAAUCCUAUUUAACCAAAAUUCCUAACACCCUCAAAACCACUUAUAAAGGAACUCGGCAAAUAUAAUUUCGACUGUUUAACAAAAACAUUGCUUCUUGCAUCCAUAAUAAGAAGUAAUCCUGC
rnacentral:rRNA from 1 species